GUCUGUGGCUCAGUGGUAGAACACUUGCUUAGCAUGCAUGAGGCACUGGGUUCAGUCCUCAGCACCACA
rnacentral:tRNA from 1 species